CUCAGGAAGUAUUUAAGCCCAAUAUCCUUAUUCUUUGUUCUUGUCUUACUCUCUUUUCUUUCAACAAAGCACUGUAAAUCCUUAACUUUAUUUUUGGAAAUUGCAAUUGCUUUUCUUUUUUUUUUCUUCCCAGUCUUCUCCCCACUGGAAAACUAAAAAUAAAAUUCUAAGCCCCCAACUGAUGGGACAAAUUCCCUCUUGGUCAAACGGAUCCCAGGGAAACCUUAAAAACUGAGUUCCUGGACAUGAAAAGACAGGAGUUGCACCAGGUUGGGGGACCACACAUGACCUUGAAUGAGAGGGAUGCUCAUCUUCCAGAUGGAUUUGCAGGUGGAUGCAGUGGCCAGAUGAAAUGCUGCGUUGUCUUCGUCUGAGGAAAAGAGCCUCCAAGCAUAAAAUGAUGCUGAAAAGAAAUGAAAUGAAAGGAAGAGGAGCCAAACCAUGAAAGUUAAUACUGGCAUUAUGAAAAGUAUUGCUAUGAAUCCAAUUUAUUUAAUUAUAAGUGUUUUUAAUUAAUUUCAAAAGAAGAUGGCCAUCCCCAUCAGUGUUUGGCAGAAUGCCUGCAUUUGAGGGUGAAGAAAAUAGUGUGUGUGUGCACAUGCGCAUGUAAUGCUUUCACGAUGAAAAACGACUUCAAUCAUCAAUUCGAAAUCCUGUUCAAAGUGAAAUCACAUUUGCAUGACAAACAACACAGCAUCUACCAGUUAGAAUCAUGUUUACUUGGCAGAAAGAACAUUCGUGAAACCAACACCAGUGUCACAGCCACAGAGGAGAAUUGCAUUUUAUUCGUCUUUUUGGUUCUAGUAUAAAACAUAAAAGGUACCCAACUGGUGUCUAAAGAAUGAAUGAGUGUAUCAUUUAAUAAAUGACAAAUACACAGAGGAAAGAACACGUAGGAGCUGUCUGCAGAAGGUGAGCACAAGUGUCAAAAAGGAAUAAACAAAAUAACAAAAAGAGUAGAUUAGUGGAAAUCCAUAUUAUUCUCAAGCUGCAAAUUGAUCCAACGAUGUAGGUCUCACUUCAGUUGGUCCUCAGUGGUAACUGCAAGAUUUGGGGUGAUAAGAAUGGUGGUGCAAAUGCGUGUAAAUAAAGUGUGUAUUUGAAUGUGUGCACUUUUUAAUUAAUUUAAUCUGGCUCACCCAACCUCUUCUACUUGAGUCCAAAAUCACAAAAGAGAAGUUAAUGGCCCUUCAUUAUCAGUCAUAUGGGACAGAAUAUGCAAUAGCUUUCUUGAAACUCAGUGCACUCUUUCCCUAACUAGCACUAUUAUCUUGUCCCUUAAUCUAUAACUAUGAAGGGGGAGAAAGUAGGUUCUGAUUUUCAUCUUCUAUUUGGCUUCUCACUUCUUAUUCUCACUGGAAUCAGAACAUAAAAGAAGAAGGUCCUAGGAACCUUAACCCUGAGGGUCUUCAUAAGAUGGCUUAAUUUAUUAUCCUCCUGUUCCCCUUAUGCAGAAUGUCAGGUUUGCUAACCAGAAACUGCUGCAAAUUUUUUGCAAGAACCACUAUUACCUGGUCCUGCAAGUCCUACAGGAAAGUCCUCUUGGGGACUCUCACCCCCUCUUCUCAACCUGGUUUCUGCCCCGUGUAAACCACAGAAAAUCUCAGGCACAAGACAAAGGGGAUUCCCAAUGGGUAUGAGCUCUGUACAUUUCUUACCUUCAAGUUUUUUCACUUAUGCUUCACCAGCCUCUUUAGAUUUUUGCUUGGAAUUACAAGUAUUAAUGUCACUUCUUGCUGUAGUUGUUGUUUAUGUGCCCACAGUGGUGCUGAUCGCAGGCUGACUCUGACCUCUGUUCUUCAGAUCUAUCUGAGCUAUUGUUCAACCUCAGCAGGAGGCAACCCCAGGGGCCUGGCUGUGAGCCUCCAGCUGAUGCUGUUGUGGGCAAUCUCAUGGCAUGAAUAAUAUUGAGUGAGAAGACCUGGGAUUGAAUCUCAGCUCCAACUCUCUCCAGCUUCAUGACCAUGGGCAUGUUACUUCACUUCUCUGAGCCUAACAUCCUUAUUGCAAGGAGAAGAACUAGUUUCUCCCUCCCAGGGUUAUUAGGAAAAUCAAAAGAGAUAACUCAUGUGACUGGAAUAUGGAAAACCUGCUCUGGAGCAGAUGCUUAAAUAAUUAUUAUUCCUGCUUUACCCCUGUUGCAAUGCUUGUUAUAUUUUCUUCACACUAUAGAUCUUAGAGAAAAAAUGUUACAACCCAUUGGGAUAAAGAGACGAGGUUCUUCAAGCCAGAGGUUUCAGCUGACCCAGACUUCAGCUUAUGCGGUAUGCCUGCAACCAUCCAAGGUUCUCUGCCUGCCACGGCAUACCUGGUGGGAAGCUUUGGGAUGGCAAGUGUGAGUCUUGACCCUUAUGAAGGUGUGGCCUCUGAGGCAGAGCUGUUCGUAUUUGAUCAUUGAGUCACAGCAGCAUGACAGUGGCAACUCACAUAAUGGUCUCUCUGCAGUGUUCUCACCAUGGCGUUCCUGGAAAGUGAGGUGACAGUUUUAGGGCUUCAUCCAGCCCCAGAUACGUAGUUAGCUCCCCAUAAAUAUUAACUGUCAUUGGCUUUGUAAUUACUCUAAUUUGAAUCAAAUUGGGCCUAGAAUAACCACAAAUUUGUUUUUCUGUCCAAUCACUGUAUUCAAAAUGCUCCACCCCGUUUCUCUUUUCUCUCCCUUGUGAAUAUCUCUGUCAGACCCCUCAGUCUUCUCAUCAUUUUCUGAUAUUAAAGAAUACAGUAGGAGCUUCGAUCUCAUUUUAAUUUGUUCCCAACUUCUCCACCGACCUUGGCUGGAAGCCUCAGAACGGGACCUUUGAGUA